GGGAUACUUCGGUAUCUAGUGGCGGACGGGUGAGUAACGCGUGAGAAUCUGGCUUCAGGUUCGGGACAACAGCGGGAAACUGCUGCUAAUACCGGAUAUGCCUUGAUAGGUGAAAGAUUAAUUGCCUGAAGAUGAGCUCGCGUCUGAUUAGCUAGUUGGUGGGGUAAGAGCCCACCAAGGCGACGAUCAGUAACUGGUCUGAGAGGAUGACCAGUCACACUGGGACUGAGACACGGCCCAGACUCCUACGGGAGGCAGCAGUGGGGAAUUUUCCGCAAUGGGCGAAAGCCUGACGGAGCAAUACCGCGUGAGGGAGGAAGGCUCUUGGGUUGUAAACCUCUUUUCUCAGGGAAGAAUAAAAUGACGGUACCUGAGGAAUAAGCAUCGGCUAACUCCGUGCCGGCAGCCGCGGUAAUACGGAGGAUGCAAGCGUUAUCCGGAAUUAUUGGGCGUAAAGCGUCCGCAGGUGGCAGUUCAAGUCUGCUGUCAAAGGUCAGGGCUCAACCCUGAACAGGCAGUGGAAACUGAACAGCUAGAGUGCGGUAGGGGCAGAGGGAAUUCCCAGUGUAGCGGUGAAAUGCGUAGAGAUUGGGAAGAACACCGGUGGCGAAAGCGCUCUGCUAGGCCUGCACUGACACUCAGGACGAAA
rnacentral:rRNA from 1 species